CCUACGGGAGGCAGCAGUGGGGGAUAUUGCACAAUGGGGGAAACCCUGAUGCAGCGACGCCGCGUGGGGGAAGACGGUCCUCUGGAUUGUAAACCACUGUCACCAGGGACGAAGAUGACGGGACCGGGGGAGGAAGCGCCGGCUAACUACGUGCCAGCAGCCGCGGUAAUACGGAGGGAGCGAGCGUUGUCCGGAAGUACUGGGGGUAAAGGGAGCGGCGGCGGGACUGCACGUUGGGGGUCAAAUCUACCGGCUCAACCGGUAGCCGCACUCAAAACUGCAGUUCGUUAGUGAAGUAGAGGCAGGCGGCAUUCCUAGUGUAGCGGUGCACUGCGUCGCUAUUAGGCGGACCACCAGUGGCGCAGGCGGCCUGCUGGGCUUUUUCUGACGCUGAGGCUCGACCGUGUGGGGAGCACACCGGAUUCGAUACCCGGGUAGUC
rnacentral:rRNA from 1 species